CCUGUUGUGUAUUUGGUAAGAAGAAGUUGAUGGAGAUCACCUAUCAGUAAAUGAAAAUUACUGUGACAUUGAAAAUGGAAUCCACAAGGGAAAGCAUCCUUGAGGAUUCUUGCCCAUGUUCCACAAAUGACCACUGCUUAGAUGAAGUUCUACGUUGCAGCUGAUUCAUGUGUGAGUGGAGGAGGUCCUGAACCAAGCAGAGUGCUCUGGCAUCUAAGACCACAUUUUCAUCACUGGUUGUAUAAGAAUCAAUGAGACAGAGAAGCUUGGAGCUACAUGCAUAGCAAUGGUGACAGGUUCUUUGUGGUAA